AGGGGGGCACCAAGUUGCCGGCUACUGAGGGGCCGGCCGACUGAAACUGGUUCCAGAAAGUGAUGUGAAAACCUGUAAGCUGGGGCCACCUCCUAGAAAGGACCUUCUAACCUGACUGGGAGUUGUACGCCCCGGGACCUGGGAGUCAACUUUAGACCUGGCAGUCAACCUUGGACCUGGGAACCAACUUGGAAUGUGGUCCCUUCUCAUUCAAGAACUACCUAAUAUCACGGAAGGAAUAACGACCUUGUUGCCCAAACAAUGGAGUCCCACCCCAGCCCAAAUUGCAUACUUCCCCAAGCAUGUAAUCCCUACUUCCCCAUGUAAUCUUUGCCCUUCUUCUCAAUAUAAGCAGCUGGCUUAUGGAAGGUUGCAGAGCUGGUUUUUGUGGAUGACCCGCUGCUCUCCCAUACCGCUGGCAUUAUUGGAAUAAACGUUCUUAUAUGAUUCAA